GCGAGAGUGAUCGUUCGAGUUCGAGCAAACUCGGGAUUCUUCGGGAAUUCUCAGACAGGGGGCCGAAAAGGGGCCUAUUUCAUUUUGAUCCGUAUAACAGAAAUCGGCAAAAUUGUGAUAGUGCUAUCGUGAGUUUGCGGAUUUUGGAUUGUGGUGAGAUUGUGCGAAAUAUUGGACUUUGACGACUUGGCUUUCCUCUGGACGUGAUUUCGACUUGAAUAACAAUUUACGACUUCGGUUCUCCCACGGACUUGGACUGAAAACAAAGUGAAAAGAAAAAACGGCUAAGAGAGGAGACAGUCGACCACGAGGAGGUAAUCGCCGUGGAAGAAAGGGCAAGGUGCACCGGAAGUUUUACCAAUUCUCGAGCCUCGACCAUAUUCCAUAUACCAUAUUCCCAAGGAAGAAGGAACGUCAACGGAAGCACAGCAUAGCUCGGCAGAAUGAAAGGAAGCUUUCGUCGCUCCAGCAUCCAGCUCUCACGACUGAGAAUAUUAUAUGCGAAAGGCUCGAAAUCUAAGUUAAGAGCCAAGUCCAUAGAAUGACAAUGGCGGCACUCAAGAAUCGUGCCCUUUUUCAGAAGAAAAGCGAAAGGAUCGAAUGGUAGAAGAAGUUUAAAUCGACUGGAGCGUGUGACCCUUGUUCUCAGG